ACUGGUUACUUGGAAAUGGAAAUUUUGUUGGCUAGAAUAGUUUAGAGCUACUAAAUACUGGAUAGGGGAGAACGGACUUUAAUUACAAUAAGAAAUCGCCAAUGUGAAUCUCAGAGCCACCAUCUCACAGCUAGUGCAAUCCCUUCAUCUUGGCUAGUGGAGCUACUCCAAAUCUAUUGACCUGGGUUCAGAUUGCAUCUUUCGCAUAAAAAAAUAAUAAAUCUUCUUUCAUAGCUUCAAUUGUUGGAUCACAUUUUAUAUAAAUUUUAAAGUACUUUAUUCUUUUUCUUCCAUCUAUCUGCAUAGGCCUC
rnacentral:lncRNA from 1 species